UAAACGAGAAAGUCAGGGCCUACGGGUUGUCAACUUCUUUUGUAUAGGAAGAAACAAAUCUACGUGUAGAGGGUUGACGGUACUAUUCGAAUAAGCACCGGCUAACUCCGUGCCAGCAGCCGCGGUAAUACGGAGGGUGCGAGCGUUAUCCGGAAUUAUUGGGUUUAAAGGGUGCGUAGGCGGAAAUUUAAGUCAGUGGUGAAAGCCUGCAGCUUAACUGUAGAAUUGCCAUUGAUACUGGAUUUCUUGAAUCUAAUAGAAGUAGGCGGAAUAUGACAUGUAGCGGUGAAAUGCUUAGAUAUGUCAUAGAACACCGAUAGCGAAGGCAGCUUACUAUGUUAGUAUUGACGCUAAUGCACGAAAGCGUGGGGAGCGAACAGGAUUAGAUACCCUGGUAGUCCACGCCGUAAACGAUGAUUACUCGCUAUUGGCGAUACACUGUCAGUGGCUAAGCGAAAGUGAUAAGUAAUCCACCUGGGGAGUACGAUCGCAAGGUUGAAACUCAAAGGAAUUGACGGGGGCCCGCACAAGGGGUGGA
rnacentral:rRNA from 1 species